GACGAACGCUGGCGGCGUGCUUAACACAUGCAAGUCGAGCGGAAAGGCCACUUCAGUGGUACUCGAGCGGCGAACGGGUGAGUAACACGUGAGUAAUCUGCCCCUGGCUUUGGGAUAGCCACCGGAAACGGUGAUUAAUACCGGAUACGACCACUUCUCGCAUGGGAUGGUGGUGGAAAGUUUUUUCGGCCAGGGAUGUGCUCGCGGCCUAUCAGCUUGAUGGUGAGGUAAUGGCUCACCAUGGCUUCGACGGGUAGCCGGCCUGAGAGGGUGACCGGUCAAACUGGGACUGGGACACGGCCCAGACUGCUACGGGAGGCAGCAGUGGGGAAUAUUGGACAAUGGGCGGAAGCCUGAUCCAGCAACGCCGCGUGAGGGAUGACGGCCUUCGGGUUGUAAACCUCUUUCAGCAGGGACGAAGCGCAAGUGACGGUACCUGCAGAAGAAGCACCGGCCAACUACGUGCCAGCCGCCGCCGUAG
rnacentral:rRNA from 1 species